GUCAGAUGUCCAGGGUCAAAGGCCGGUGGUGCUGGGGAGAAGUUGGGGGAGGGGAGCAUGGCCUCACUGACUUGUCCUCCAUCCUGGCAGGAGGGGCCCUCCACGUUUGCCACCCUGCAGUACACCCCCAGAGAGUCCAGAGCAUCAGAUGUCACAGGGCGUUGUCCCCUUCUUGGCCUUUCCUUGGUGAUCUGGUGAUGCUGCAUCUGGUGAUGGGUGACUAUCAGGAGGCUGGUGAGGCAGCAAAGCCACCUGAGGGAGGGCACAGCUGUGAGAGGUUUAUGAGCUGGACUCAGCCUCUCCCUCCUGCGGGGCCCACAGUGGGACAGAGAAGUUGGGCCCCUCCAGUCAGGCAGCAGGGGAAGGAGAUCAACCUCGAGAAAAGGACUGAGUUGUCCAUAGGUUUCCAUCUAUGCGACCUUGGAAGAGGAUGCAGCAAUUUGGCAGUGCAGCACAAUUCCUCAUGAGCCCCCUUUUGUACCUCAUGCUUUGGACCUGCUGGGUGCUGAGAGUGGAGUCUAUCUUGAUCAAGUCUUGGUCUUGAAGCCAAGAAGGCUGGUAAAGAAGCUGAGGCUUGGAGAAGCUGAGUAGUUCUGCUGGGUCUCUCACGGUGUGCUGGAGACACUACUUCCACAGUGAACUUAGCUGCACUGCAGUGUACACAGACGAGCUCUCCCGGAGAGACAGAAGGAGACUGACUGAAACUCUCCAUGGCGUACUCCUAACACUUCUGAGAUGUGCUCACCAAUUAUUUACUAUGCACCAGCCCCAUUCUAAGAGUUGAAGAUGUAACGAUG
rnacentral:lncRNA from 1 species